AGUCUUGGUGUUCCUCGAUGUUACAUAAGGGUUGAAAACUGUACCAAGCCAUGUUACUGUUAGUAUGGUCACUGAAAUAAAACAUAUAAUUAUACAUAACAGUGUAUGACCUUUAAGUAGAUAUUAUUUGAAACAUUUCUCCCUGAAUACUUCUAGUGGUUUGACCGCCUCGCUGUCACCCUGAAGAUGUUAGUCUGAUUUCCAGCAUGGAGAGAAGUCAGUUCCUGGUCUCCUUCUCGAUAUGAAAUUUUGUUUAAAAAAUUGCAUAAAGCCAUGAACCCAUAACAAUGUUCCAACACCUAAAUAUCCAUAAAUCGUGUUAAAAUUAUAUAUACGAGAAAACCAAUAACAAGCUCUUACAGUUUCCAAACGUUCAAAUAUGCAUAAUCAUUAUACAUGUGCGUACUUGUAAGAUACCUCCGAGAGGUGCUAUAUUAGAACAAAACCGUAACAAGGUCACAUGCACUACGUUACAUCAUGAUACAUCACGAUACAUACAUAUCUGUACUGUCACUUGUUGUAUUACGCUUUCCUGAUCCUUGGCAUCUUAUCAUAAAAUCACACACACGUAUUUGUAAGUGCGCCUUUUUGUUUUUGUAAUAUAAAUCCAUUUACCCACUCAACACGCUGUUUUUGCCAUGGUAUGUCUGGUGGUCACUGACCAUGAUCACAAUCAGCGUAGUAUAGAUGUUGGAUCCAUAUAAUCAUUUAAUGUAUCAUUAUCAUUGUAUCUCUCAUGAAUCUAUUAUUUGAAAUAAAUGUAAUUUGACAGUG